UCCUUCCAGUCAGGUUGCCAGGACUGAGCUAUUGAGGCCACAGUGCCCAGGGAGACCCACUUAGGCUGAAUCUGCCCAAGGAGCAAGGGUUGCCAGGCAGCAGGACCAGGAUGACAUUCUGCUCGGUGUGAGGCAAGACCAUGGUGUAAGAAUGGUAGUCAGGCCAGGAGUAUGAACUGUGGAGAGGUGGCCAAGAUGCCUACAUAGGGGUCAGCAGCAGACUCGAACUUCUCUGGUAAAGUCUCUAGACUCCCAAGAGAAGAACCCUGCUGGACACAAGCAGGAAACUAGGUCCCCCGAAGGAGAACAGGAAUAUGGCAAAAAGGCUUGGAUUCCAGAUUCAAGAACCAUUUACAGUGAGACCUAGUGAUAGCCAUCAAUAGUCUGGGUGAGGUGAAAGAGGGCAGGACCCCAGCAUUCUGUGCUGUCUCACAUACCAGGAGGAAGGAGGCCUAGAGUCCUGAAAUCUGGGAAGAGCUGUCCAGCUGCUCACCCUGAGCUGAGGUCCACAGAUGGCUUUGGUCAAGAUUGUCCUCCUCUGAGCAAAGACCAAAGAUGUGCUAACACUGCAAGUUCCUGCCCACUACCCAAGUGUGUGUGCCAUUCACCACAGCCUAUGCAGAGAAAGGCUGGAAGAGGUCUGUGUUCAAUGUGAUUGCAGUACCUUCAAAGUGCCUGUAAGCCACGGCUCCUGUAGCUGAAGUACACUGCAGAUAGAGUUCUGCUCUAUGGCCAGGCUGCGGAAAGGUGGCCUUGACGGGUAGCUCUCAGAAGCAUGAUGGAAGUCAGCAGUGAGCAUCUCCUUCGUGGCACACUGGCAGGAGCCGUAGCACCAGGACGACGUUUGGUAUGCCAGGCACAUCCUGUGCCUCACACAUCCAGGGACUGCAAUCAGGUAGCUGAUGAGAAUUCAAGUCACAUCGCCUGGACCAUUGCCGCAGUGAACUGAUUCAUGCUGCUACUUCGAGGUGGGAGAAGGGACAGUGGGGCCCAGAGACAAACCAGCCUGGCUCUAUUAUACAGCUGCUGUUCUCAAGCUGAAACGUUCCGUCCUUUCCCACUCCCUGUCUUGCUGCUGAGCUGGCUACCUGUGAAGCCUGAAGAUUCCAGCCCCAGGUUCUGACUGAACAAUGGUAUUAUGUGAUGUAUAAAGAGUACCCAGGCAACGGAGACAGGCAUGGCUUCAUUCACUCAGUGCCCAGUGGCUUUUGAACGCUCCAGCAUUCAGCCUUUAUCCUGAGCAGCUCUGGGCCUCUCCCCUCCCAUUUAUUGCUCAGCUGUCCUCAUCAUAAUCUUUCCCCUGUCUGCAAGAGAGCCAUGAAUGAGGGAAGGAAAGGGGGGAGACAAAGAUACUCUGGUAACCAGAAAGACUCCUGAUUGUGGGUGAAGAGAUCUGAGGUUUGGUCUCUGGUGCCAUCACUCAUGAGGGAACCUUGAGUGCAUCUCUAGUCAGCUCCAGGUUCCCUUCCCGAUCUAAGUCUCUGGUAAGAGAAUCAGGAAGAAAGUCCAACGGGAGCUUUGCCAACUCUGACAUUCUAUCAUGUGAGUACACACAGCUGGAUGGCAUCACUCUGCUCUCAUAUCUUAGUCACAAAGGUUCUCCACUGGAUCAGGAUAUUUUCCUUGGCUGUGACAUCAGCCCAGGACAGAAGAUAAGUAACAGCACACAGGUGAUUCCCAUGAUCCACAGAUCCCCCUCGUCUACAGCAGCAGUCACUUGAUCCCAACUCCCCAUUUGUUGUCUUAGAAGAAUAAGAAACCCAGUUCCUCCUACGCUGACUCCUCCUUUUCCUUCCCUUCCCCUUCUCCCUCCCCCCUCCUUUCCUCUCCUCCCCUAUUUUUUUUUAAAAAAGAAAGCAGACGUGAACUUUUCUGUGAAAACAUUGUUUUAAAAUGGCAGACCAAAUAAAACUCACCAGAAGGCUGUAUCUGACAGGAGCCUUUAUCUUAUUAACUUCAGAACUGAUACAAACCCAAAGAACCUCAAUUCCAGGAGCUCUGUUGUAUACAACCGUGGCAUCAGGCCUAACCCUGAGAGGAAAAGGAUACCUCACUGUGAUUUCUUGAAGAAGCAACCCAAAGUGGAUCCAGUGCUGUCAGCUAUCCUGCUAGCUAACAUCUGACUAGCACCACACUGCCCCUAUUUCCUACAGAGACAUCCCCCUCACUAUCCCAGAACUUUAGAUCCCCAUCUUGCAAAGCCACAAGGAGGCAAUGACAUGUUGUCUGUCUGAGUUCCUAUUUGUCCAAAGAGAAUCUCAGUCUCCACAUCUGGUCUCCCUGGCCAAGCCUGCCAGGAAUAGGGAAGAGACUGGAGAACUUCAGGCAGACAUUGAUUCCACAGAAUCCCACACUGGCUAUGACAUCCCAUGAACCUAUGGUAAAAUCAUAGCCCAUCUUCAUAGCCUUCAUAGUGAUCCCAGAAGACAAAAGUUUGUUACUUCAGCAAGGACUGAACAACUAAAUUUGCUGACACGGGGGCGGGGGUGUGUGUUAAGAAUGCAGGAAAAGACGAUGUCUCCCACCCACUCUUUGUUACAUUAACAGCCAGACAGCAAGCAACCUGGGGCUGUAUGUAAGCCUCUCUGGUGCUGAUGUGGGUAAGCUAUCUUACAGCCACUUCAGCUGUCAGAAGAAUCUCUGCCUCAAUGACGACAGCAUCGACACAGGAGGCAGGAGGCCAGCUCUCUGUUCCUCAUCAAAUCCAAACCUCUCUCACAACACAGACCAUACUGCUAUGGCAAAAGACACAAGAAGCUAUCUGUCUCCAAACGUAGGUGUGGAGCUAGGAAUGUUGAUUACAGAAAGGAUUCUGGAACUGAGUUUCAGAAUGAGCUUUCACGGGCUAUGUGAGGAGUACACUAAAGGCUAGGAGUGGUCCAGGAGGUGAAAGCAAUAAGUCAGAGAGAGGUCCGGAGGCUGAGUCAGGGCAGUGGCAAUGGAGUGGGAAAGAGAAGGCUGUGGCAGCAGAAUGAGUUCAGUCUGGGAGGUAUCUGGACACUGGGUUAGCAUUCUGGUCAGUUUUAUAUCAACUUGGCACAACCCAGAGUCAUUUGGGAAGAGGGACUCUAAACUGAGAAAUGCCUCCCUAUAGGCAAGUGUCAGGUAUGUUUUUAAUUAAUGCUUGAUAUAGUUGGUGCCACCCUUGGAUGGGGAAUGGGAGAGGGGUAUAAGAGUAGUAUAAGAAAGGCUGAGCAAGCCAUAAGGAACAAGCCAGUAAGCAGCAUUCUCUACGGCCUCUGCUUCAGCUCCUGCCUCCAUGUUUCUGCCUUGAGUUCCUGCCCUGCCUUCCCUUACUGAUGAAACAUGACCUGAGAGUUAUAAGGUGGUUGUGACAAGUCCCCAGGACCACUGAGGAAUGGAGAGAGCUAACCAACGGGGACAAAGUACCAGAAACACCUAUUGUGACUCAUCUGUGAUGGUGACUAACAAGACCAAGGUCCACAGAUGAGGAAGUUAUGCCUGUGAGAGAGGUCAAGUUGCCCAAGCAUGACCCAGUCUGACCUGGCUUGUGUUGCUGACCAUCAGGAACCCCUCACCAAGCAUCAACACAGAUAUCCAGAGGCCCAGGGCUAGUGGUGGGAGCUGAGCCUCAAAGGCUCUUGAUUCUGUGAACUCCUGAAUGCAGUGAAGUGAAGCACCUGCUCAGAUCAAGAAGGACAAGCAGAAUCUUAAGAGAGCUGACUGGACAGGUGGGAAGAGUGUGCUCCAACAGAGGCUGCAGAGGAGAGGUGAGUUUUGCAUGAUGCUGAGGCAUCAUGGGAUGCAGCAGUGCAGGGCCUGCUCCUGUUCUUCCAGACAGGCCAGCCUCUGUGUUGGGCUGUCUUUUCCCUUCCAGGUGCUAGGGGGAGAGCUAGACCCCUCUCAUUUCUUUAAAAAUCAGCAUUAUUAAUCAAUAACUGACAUGCAACCUAUUGUAUAUAAUUAAAGUGUGUGUGUUAAUAAGCUUUGACAUAUACAGACAACUAGGAAGCCAUCAUCACAGUUAAAGAGCUUACUCAUCAUCCUCUAAAAUUCCCUCCUUCCCACUCUGCCAACCCCUUGCCCUCACCCCAAACACCCCACUGAUCUGCUUUCUUUUCCUAUAAACCAGUUAUCCUCUCCAAUACCUAGAAAGAUCAGUCUUUCUAAUAUCAGCCAUUCUGUUAGGAUGGAUAGUUGUAUCUCAGUGUGGCUGAUUUUAUUUUUGAUUAUGUGUGUGCAUGUGCAUCUAGGGGUCAGGUAUGGGUACCAUGUGUAUGCCUGGUGCAUUUAAAGUCCAGAAAAGCAUGUCAGGCCCUCUGGAGCUGGAAUUACAGGUGGUUGUGUGCCAUCUGAUAUGAGUACUAGGAACUGCAUCCAGGUCCUCUGGAAGAAUAGCAAGUGGUCUGAACCACUGGGCUAUCUAUUUAGCUUCAGUGGGCAUUUCCCCUAUGACUAACAAUAUUUAACAUCUUAUCAUGAUCUUAUUAUCCAUGUACCUUCUUCUCUAGUGUAAUAUCUAUUCAACUCUUCCCCUGACUUCAAUGGGGUUAUUUUAUUUUUGUUGAAAGCCUUGUAACUUAUGGAUACAAGUCCUUCAUCAAACAAAAUUUAUGGGCAGUGCCUUCCAGUCUAUGGCUUGUCUCUUUAUUCUCUUGACAGUAUCAAUGACUAAAAAUAGGUUUUAAGAUGAAUAAAGUCUGAUUUGUUGGUAUUUUCAUUUGGCAGAUUAUGUUCCCUGGUGUUAUAUUUAAAAACUUUGCCUAAACCACAGUCAUUAAUGUUUUCUUCUAGAUUUUUUUACAUUUAGAUUUAGCAUCCAUUUUGACCUAAUUAUUGCCUAAUUAUGCAAGUUGGGAGUCAAAGUUCAUUUUUUGCAUAUGGGUAUUCCAUUACUCCACCAUGACUUGUUUUAAAAAGACUAUGUUUUCCUCCACUGACUAGCUUCCAUUUUUGCUAGCUUCCAGGUUGGGGAACGUAGUUCAACUGGCAGAUGGUUGCCUAGCAUGCUUGGGACCCUAGUUUUUCUUUCCCUGUAUGAAAGUCAACUUGGGAGGCAGACACAGGAGGAUCAGAGGUUCAAGUUCAUCCUGAGCUGUAGAUAAGUUUCAAGGCUAACCUGGGCUACAUGUUAGCCUUUGAGAUCUUUCUCAAAAAAAGGAAACAAACAAGACCUUACUUCAAACAAACAAGCAGCAGUGUGGAUUGCCCAUCUAUGUUUGGAACUGUGUACAAACUUGCAGUAUUCUCUCUCUCUCUCUCUCUCUCUCUCUCUCUCUCUCUCUCUCUCUCUCUCUCUCUCCCCUUGUCUGUCAUGAGGUCCUUACUAUGCUGUUUUGACAACUGAAGCUUUACAGUAAGCUUUUACACCAGGCAAUGAGUCUUCCAGGUCUUUCUUUUUUAAAAUGCUGUGGAAUGUUCCAGAUCUGUUCAGUUUCCACACCAAUGGUAGACUUGGUAUCUGUGGUAUCCCUUCUACUCUCUUUUAUCCCUAAAGCAUUGUUCUGGAGAAACACUGAGCUUGAGGACACAGCAGCCCUCUGAUCAAAGACUCUCAAGAAGACCGAACUGAACUGAGCUGAAGGCAUGACCUUCCCAUGUCUAAGAGAAAGCAAAAAUAGUUGAAUCCAGACCUUCCCCAUCUGGACAAGCAGAGUCCAGAGCAGGUCUAGCCCAACCCUCAGUGAACACUGUAGAGGGAGACAUGAAGCAGAGGAAGACUCGGUGAGAGCCAGAAAUGUGAUGAAAUACCAACAGAUAAGCUCAGCAAAGCACCUUCACAGUCUUGAUUUCUUAUAAAUAACAAGUGCUCCGUGUGGUGUUGGCCAGGCUAA